CACGGAUCUUGGGAAUGGAAGGUACUUGUAUAUCCAUAUACAGGUUUGGCCCGAACCAAAGCCAGGAGGUGUUGGGGGAGGACUGGGCUUCUACCCCAGUCUCCAUGAUGGCCCUCAGCCUUAAUUAGCAGCCUCCUGCAAAAUGAAACAAUGUGCUUGUUCCAAAGGGUAAGAUAAAGGUCCUGACAGCUGCCCCUCACUUCCAAUCAGAUGUGGUCCUCAAAUCCCUGCAUAGAGAAACUCACCGAAACAGCACAGAGAAACACACAGACAUACUCACAAAGCAUACAGAGACAUACCCAGAUAGGUACGACACACACACACACACACACACACACACACACACACACACACACGGUUGGAGGUUCUGCUUGGAGUCACACGGCACACAAGAUUGCUGUCAAGAAAGCCUGUCCAUAAAUAGUGGCUGUACACCCUCCUCACUUACAAUUCAGGGAAAAGAAGAGCGGGGAAGGAAAGGAGGAAAAACAACAACAACAAAAGCCACGACAGAGAACGGGAAAAGGCAGAGACUGAAAGCGAAGGACCGUCGGAGGAGGAGGGCGAGAGGUCUGGAGAGGAGGGCUCGCCGGAGGAGGCGGGCGGGGCGGGCUGUGCGGAGGGUGCGGCCAGCGCGGUACCCGCCCCGGCGAGGCGCUGGGGAGGCCCGGGUGGGGAGAAGAAAUGGGGCCUGGGGGACGGUAGGAGCCUCCGUGCGGAGACCACUGUUCAAGGCCACAGACAUUUAUGCAGUGUGUGAUUCUUUCUAAAACAACUCCCUGGAAGAGAGGACAUUUAAUUCAACAAUUUAUUGGCCACCUACUGUGCACCAGGCAGUGAACUUGGAACUGGGGCUACUGGGUUACAGCAGUGACCAAGACAGAGGUCCCUGUUCUUAAGGAGCAAGUGAGGGCAACAGAAAAGAGCAGUCAGCUGUCAUGCGAGGGCACUCAAGCAGCCCUGUGGAAAGCUCUACGUGGUGAGAAACUGAAGCCUCCUGCCAACACCAACAAGGAACUGAGACCUACUUCCAACAGCCAUCUGAGUGAUCGAUCCAUCCUGGAAUCAGAUCCUCCAGCCCCAGUCAAGUCUUCAGAUGACUGCAGCCCUGACCAGCAUCUCAACUGCAACCUCGUGAAUGACCCUGAGCCAGAACCAUGCAACUAAACUCUGCGUGGAUUCAUGACCCACAGAAACUGUGAGAUGGUAGCUGUUUGCUUUGUUAAGCCUCUAAGUCUGGAAAGAAUGUCUUAAGCAGUAGCAGACAAUGAACACAAGAUUAUUAUUCAGCUGUUGAAUUGGAAGAGGAGGGGAAGAAAAAAUUUUCAGAUCACAAAAUAUUCAUUGUGUAAAACUUCAAAAAUUCUGAAAUUUAAGGAAAAAAUAUCAUUUGUUGGGAAUUUGUUGGGAUUCAUUGUCUCAGUGCCAAGAGACACCCACUCUUUUUUUUUUUUUGAGACAGAGUCCUGCUCUGUUGCCCAGGCUGAAGGGCAGUGGCACGAUCUCAGCUCACCACAACCUCUGCCUCCCGGGUUCAAGUGAUUCUCCUCCCUAAGCCUCCCAAGUGGCUGGGACUACAGGCAUGCAUCACCAUGCCCGGCUAAUUUUUGUAUUUUUAGUAGAGACGGGGUUUCACUAUGUUGGCCGGCUGAUCUCAAACUCUUGACCCCGUGAUCCGCCCGCAUCAGCCUCCCAAAGUGCCGGGAUUACAGGCAUGAGCCACUGCGCCCGGCCGAGACACUCACUCUUAACAUUUUGGUAUAUUUUUUCUCUCUGCACAUUUUUUAUCCAGCUGACUUUAUUUUGUCUCCUGAAAUCUUCAUUUUUAAAUUAUAGCUUCAGCAUUUAAGAAAAUGUGUCUAACAAAGUCUUCGCAAGCAUACAUUUUUCCCAUAGUUAGUAUACUUAGAAUUUAUUUGUCAAGCAAUUUUGAAGGGCUUUCACUAUGAAAAACUUUAGGGCUUAUUGAUAUUCUCUUUAAGUAGAAGUAUGUUUUUUAUUAUUACAAAAGUUAUAUAUGUAUAUAUAUGGUGUUUGUGUUUGUGUGUGUGUGUGUGUGUGUGUGUGUGUGUGUGUGGAGUCUCGCUCUGUCACCAGGCUGGAGUGCAGUGGCGUGAUCUCAGCUCACUGCAACUUCCUCCUCCCAGGUUCAAGCGAUUCUCCUGCCUCAGCCUCCUGAGUAGCUGGAACUACAGGUGCGUGCCACCACGCCUGGCUAAUUUUUGUAUUUUUAGUAGAGACGGAGUUUCGCCAUGUUGGUCAGGCUGGCCUCGAAUUCCUGACCUCAAGUGAUCCGCCCGCCUCGGCCUCCCAAAGUUUUGGGAUUACAGGCAUGAGCCACUGCGCCCGGCCUUAUACUGAAUUAUAUAAGGCGAAAAGUGAACGUCUCCUGUAAUCUAGAAAAAUGGCAUUAUAAUGAGUAAAUUUUAAAUUUUAAUGUAAUUUUCCAGAAUUUUUUUUUUUUGAGACGGGACGGAGUCUCACUCUGUUGCCCAGGCUGGAGUGCAGUGACGCGAUCCUGGCUCACCGCAACCUCUGCCUCCCACGUUCAAGCGAUUCUCCUGCCUCAGCCUCCCAAGUAGCUGGGACUACAGCCGCCCACCACUGCGCCCGACUAAUUUUUGUAUUUUUAAUAGAGACGGGGUUUCGCCAUAUCGGCCAGGCUGGUCUGGAACUCCUGACCUUGUGAUCUGCCCGCCUUGGCCUCCUAAAGUGCUGGGAUUAUAAGCGUGAGCCACCGUGCCCGGCCUUUUUU
rnacentral:lncRNA from 1 species